UAUGUAGGCAGCGAGCGUUGUUCGGAAUUACUGGGCGUAAAGAGUGUGUAGGCGGUGCUCUAAGUUCGGUGUGAAAUCUCCUGCUUAACUGGGAGGGUGCGCCGGAAACUGGAGUGCUUGAGCGUGGGAGAGGAAAGCGGAAUUCCUGGUGUAGCGGUGAAAUGCGCAGAUAUCAGGAGGAACACCGGUGGCGAAGGCGGGUCUCUGGGCCUUACCUGACGCUGAGGAGCGAAAGCGUGGGGAGCGAACAGG
rnacentral:rRNA from 1 species